GCCGGGCGCGGUGGCUCAUGCCUGUAAUCCCAGCACUUUGGGAGGCUGAGGCGGGUGGAUCAUCUGAGGUCAGGAGUUCAAGACCAGCCUGGCCAACAUGGUGAAACCCCGCCUCUA
ensembl:misc_RNA Metazoa_SRP Metazoan signal recognition particle RNA